rnacentral:lncRNA from 1 species
GAGGACUACGACAAACGUUAUUCUAUGCGAAAGCAUGAAGUUGUAAACGAGGAUAGUCCUAGCUAAUACCAAGUGUUCACUUCGGAUUAGCUAACACAACUUUGUGAGGUGUUUAGUUGGCACGAAUCGGACUUAGCAUCAUUUAUGCUAGUCCAGUCUUACGCCAAACAUGGGAUUGCUGUCCCAGCUAAGCCAGACCCCACUAAAGAGGCCUAACAAAUGGGGCCUUAGUUUAUUCAUAGUGGCUUUGACCACUUGCUUGCGGGUUACUACACAAGUUCCAAUGUAUUAAGCUUCUUACAUAGAUUCCACGUAAGACCUAAUGUCUUAGAUUUCAUGUGGUUUAUCUAGUGAAUACAUCAGACCCUUUAUGGGUAUUUUUGUCUGUUUAUCCACACAUGAUCAACAUAGAUAUGACUUUUGGGCUGAGUUCAUUUAUGGUUUCACAUGUGUGCCUUUUGUGCUUCUACCAACCAGAGACCUCGAGGACUGAUUUUAAGCUACCUGCGAAGAUUAGGAUGCACCAUCACUAGUAGAACAUAGAGGUUUGCAUAGUAGGGUCUGCAACCUCCGC